rnacentral:tmRNA from 1 species
GGGGGCGAACUGGUUUCGACCGGACUAGUGAAGUGUAGGUUGCGUGUCGUGGUUGGUCAGCGGGCCACGUUAAAAGCCGACUAAUAAAUUCAAAUGCCGAACCAAAAUUGGCAUUGGCUGCCUAAUAAUGGCAACCCCGGGUGCAUGCUGUCGCCGAAAUGGUGUGUUAUUCGGACGUAAAUUCGGAUCGUUUCUGUUCAGGUUGACUACGAUAGAAAUUAAAUAAUGUUGUCGAAUCGUUUGCGAGGUACCGUUGCCGAUGAGGGACUGAGCGAACUAAAAAAUAAAUAAUCGGACACACACGUAGACGCUUAUGUGGAUCGGUUUCGGGACGCGGGUUCGAUUCCCGCCGCCUCCAUGC